rnacentral:rRNA from 1 species
UAAUACAUGCAAGUCGAACGGUAACAUUGGUGCUUGCACCAGAUGACGAGUGGCGCACGGGUGCGUAACGCGUAUGCAAUCUACCUUUUACUAGAGUAUAGCCCAGAGAAAUUUGGAUUAAUCCUCUAUAAUAUCUUUUAAUUUCAUGAUUUUAAGAUUAAAGUUUUAACGGUAAAAGAUGAGCAUGCGUCCUAUUAGUUUGUAGGUGAGGUAACGGCUCACCUAGACUACGAUAGGUAGGGGCCCUGAGAGGGGGAUCCCCCACACUGGUACUGAGACACGGACCAGACUUCUACGGGAGGCAGCAGUAAGGAAUAUUGGACAAUGGACGAAAGUCUGAUCCAGCCAUGCCGCGUGCAGGAUGAAAGCCCUAUGGGUUGUAAACUGCUUUUAUACAGGAAGAAACACUCCGACGUGUCGGAGCUUGACGGUACUGUAAGAAUAAGGAUCGGCUAA